rnacentral:rRNA from 1 species
CGACGGGUGAGUAACACGUAUGCAAUCCACCUGUAACAGGGGAUAACCCGGAGAAAUCCGGACUAAUACCCAUAAUAUGGGCGCUCCGCAUGGAGAGUCCAUUAAAGAGAGCAAUCUUGGUUACAGACGAGCAUGCGCUCCAUUAGCCAGUUGGCGGGGUAACGGCCCACCAAGGCGACGAUGGAUAGGGGUUCUGAGAGGAAGGUCCCCCACAUUGGAACUGAGACACGGUCCAA